CGACAGGGUCCGGGCACGAC
rnacentral:siRNA from 1 species